CACGCUCACCUCGACCGGCUCGACGGCUCGCCCUCCAUACUCCUAGUCUCCUACAACAUCCGACGCAGCCAUGGUUCUCUAAUCCGACGUCGUCCUGUCAUCGCAGUUGCCGCAGCAACGUUGUCCCUCUAUACCUACGGUUCUUAUCGUAGUGUAAGGUUCUCAAAGUUGGAACCAGAGCAUGAACAAGUGAGCGAUUCCCUGAAAUGGGAUUUUGGGCUAACCCUUUCUACUGGGGUAUACAGCUUGAGGGUGGAGGACUGGAGGCUGCGCAUACCGGCGAAAUGAAUCCUCUAGGCCCUUCUUUUCAACAUAUAUGAUGAUACCUGGUUAUGCGGUGAUUCUAAAUCUGUGGAGGAUGGAACUGAAGUCCUUGGUGAUGGCUCUACUAGGUUUCGUAUUAUAGACCAUGGUCGUUAUACACUGCCUCCCAGAGCUACUUUUCGAUUAGCAGCUCUGAAUUCAACUCUCCUGGUCUAUCUUCCUAUAGUAGUUAUGUUUAUGGCUGUGAAACGCACACUUGAAAAGACGGCUCUGGCUCCAACAAUCGUGGAGCUCUUCUGCCCACGAUAACUUUAGUACUUCACACGGUGGCUCUGGGGCGUCAUUUUGCAGAGCUUUAUCAAGCCCAACAGGGGAUGGAUAUGAAGUUGCGGAUGGCUCUUCCUCGUGAUAUAAUUUUAGAAUUUGUUGAAAGCCAACUCAUGUGUUGCGAAGACAAGAAUGCGUAUCACUAAAUGAAAAAAAAUGUGAUUAUUCUUGAACUUGGUGUCUUUCAAAUUACGG